UACCUGAAAGAACCAAAAAGGCACUGGUUACAUUUCCUGCCGUGCCUAUAAAUAAGCCCAAAUCCUGAAGAAUUGCACCCAUAGCCUGAGUCUUGAGCCACAGUUACUGGUGUGUGUUGUGCCCACAGGGAAGAGGCUUGAAACAAUGAAAAACUGAGCUCCCUCACACAACUGUUUGGGAAAAGUGCUUUUUCCCCCUCCUUCUUUCUCUUUUUCUCAUACUGCAUAAAAUAGAGGUGACAAUUAUUUAUCCUGGGGGAACUGUGAGCUUAAAUGUUUCACUGCUUGUAAAAAUGUGCUCGCAUGUUGCAGGAGAAAGCUGCAGUUGCUGUGGGAGUAUCUACAUUAGGGCUGGCCACAACAGUGCUUUAAUUGAAGAAUUUCCAUCAGCAGGCCUAGAUAUGGGACAAAAUUCUGCCUGCACGUGUCAGUACCAAACCUGGCAAUGAUUUAGGCCAUCAAGGUCAGCAGGGCGUGGGCUCUUCACCCUCCCAAGGUAAGCUGGACCCCACAGCUGUGUGUUUUACCUGCUUGGCUCCCUCCAUUCAGCAACUCUGUCUUCAUGUCUUGGAGCUGCGUCUGGAUUUGAUCCAGUCUGAGGGUGAGUUCUUCUGGAUGGCAUUGUGCUAGAGCAAUCAGACAGGUGAAUUUACAGAAGGCCAGGACAUCUACACUACAUCUUCUACUAGAUCUUCUACACUAGAUCUUCUAGUUUGGGGGAAAACCUUUGUUUUAAAAUGCAGCAUCUCUCCUCCCUGUGGUGCCCAGCCGCUCUCACACCUCACCCAGACACACCCGAGCUGAGGACCCUCCUGUGGUGCCACGUAGCACCAGUUACCCUGGAGAUGUGUGUGACAGUCAAAACUGCCCCAAACUGUCAAAAUACAGGCUGGCACACACCCUGCAGCCACCACUGCACCUUUAGAAGCCAAGUGUGUUGGCAGGGAAAGAGGAGGCGUGUGGGACAUCACCCGCGCAGGGAUGCUGCUGCUCCUGGGAGAGCUGAUCUCCAGCACGUCCAAACUCGCAGCUGAACACCUUCCACGCAGGUUUCUCGCCCCUCCCCAGUGCUUCUGGGUGAGCUUAACAGAGCAGAGAGCUUUGUUAUCAGUCAGCUGACCUCAGGUAACCUGCUGCUCUACAGCACCUGACCCUUGCUGUGAUGUGGCACCACAGUGUCAUCACAGCCACCUGUAAUUCCAAUUGCUUAGGAAUCUAUCCCAAAAGCUCUGUAGGAGAGAUGCCACAUUAUGUCAUCUGUCAGGCUGUUCCCAAAAUCACUGGAGGACAGAAAAGGAAAGGUGAAGCAUGGAGGAAAGAGCAGCUGGUGACAGCUACCACUUACCUGUGUGUGUGACAGGACAACUGGGGAGUGGAAGAUGGUCCAGAUCACACUCUCAGAGCAGGGUGGGGUUGUCAGGGAGCCCUGGUACCUGUAGAAGUGUGAGAGGUUUUCUGGCAGCAUGGCUUGGACAUCCAGAGAACUCAGCUUUGUGGAUUGACCUCAAAAGGGAGCAGAGAGGCAACAUCAGCAAUUAAUGGGGAGUGAGGAGAGAGGUGGAAGCUCUGUUAGAGCCGAGGUUGGCAAAUCCCUCUGCCCAGAGCACUGGUUUAUCAGGCCUUUGGCAGGAUGGAUGGAGAUGGAGAGAAAUGAGUGGCCCUUCCAGUGGGUCUGUGGGUUGUCAUUUGGAGGGACCUGGGUCCUGGGGGUGGGGGGCACCUGCACCCCAGUGCUCUGCCAGUACCUGCUGGUCCUCCCAGGAGGCAGAGAGUCUCAGUGGGUGUACAGACAGCAGGGAGCUGGUGUUUGGUGCUGCAGGCCUACCAGGGGUCUAUUUAUUGCUGCCUUGAGCACUUUCUCCCUCACUCUGCUGCUGUUGGAGCCACGUGGGCAGGGAUGGUGUGGAGCUGGGCACGGCUGAGGAUGCUCAGCCAUGGAACUGCCAGCAAAGCAGCAGGAAGAGGUCUGUCCUCAGACCCAGCACCCAUGUACAGGCUUUGAGAAUAGCAGGGGUGGAGAAAGGCAUUCCCAGGUCUUACCUGCAAACCUGAUUCUUGCCAGUUUGGAGAUGAAUUCACUGUAGUAGGUGUUCUCAAAGUGCCCAUCCUAAACACAGCACAGAAACCUUGAUCAAAAGCUUUGUGACCUGCCUGUCCUUCUGCUUUGCUAAUCAGCUCUGGGGACUAAUUGAUGAACUGGGGGAUAAAGAGAACAGAUGCUAUCACAGGUCUGAUGGGCUGGACAAUGCUGGCCAUGACCAGAUGUGUACAUAGAGAUCUCAGGUAGAACAGGGAACUGUAAAGGUCCUUUUUCACCACUUUUAAAUCCACACAAAGUCAAGUGUUCCCACUUGCAAAGCAGAGCAAGGCCUCGGUGCACAGCAGCUCCCACACCUGAUAUUCCAUCUGCACUGCUUAUGGGGCAAACUUGUCCGGGGCUCCCAAAAUAUAUGGGCUGGUGUUGUGUGAACCCCAGAUGGCCCCAGGGAUAACAGUCCUGCUGCAGCACAGCUCUCUAAACUGGUGGCAGACACCAUCUCUUAGGACAGAUGCACAAACCCAGCACAGGCUGCUUGUGUCUGGACUGAGAUCUUAGCACAGGCCCCGAUCCCUGGGCAUCAAACCUACCUUGUAGAGGAAGGCCAGCACAGCCAGCCCGUUGGGUUUGUCCUUGGCUUCUUCAAAGCUUGAGUAGUCAGCAGAGUUGUAAUGGACAAUGUGCAGCUGCCAGGAGAGAGACAAGGUCAUUCAGCAACAAGUGAUGAGUGGCUUCCUGGGUGCUGCCCAGGGCAGACUGCAGGGAGAGCCACCAGCCCAACUCCUGCUGCUUGUGCCUCACAGCACGGCCAAGGAGACCUUUGGUUUAACAGGUUUGUGAUGAAUGUGGGGGAAAUCUCCAUGUUAGAAGGACACCAGUGCUCUUGCAAUGGCUUUUCUCACAGUCCUUCUGUGCCAGCACCGUCGGGCUCAGCCCUUGCACGGCACCAGCCACCUGCACUCCUGGGAGCCCUGUCCUUCCCCCGGGCCUCUGGAUUGCUUCCUGCAGGCUCUGUGGGCUGCAGCUCCCAGUUUCCCAGCUGGCAGAGGUGCAGUGCCCCCUCCCUGCAGCCCACCCUGCUCACGUACCUCCGCAAAGUACCUCAGCCCGUCUAUGGUGUGCUCGGAGCCACUGGUCUCCAGGUCCAGGCCACCCCAGUGCAGGUGCAUCUGGACAGCUGUGUAGAGGCCUGGGAGCCCUCUGGAGAUGUUCAUGGUGGGUGGCAAAUCGAUCUGAACUGGAAAAAAAAACCCCGCCAGGAUUGGAGACAGCGCUGGGUGCCAUCCCGUUCCUGUGGAUCCCCUCACAGUGCCUGCUGCUCCCUCUGGAAUGAGCAGGCACAUCUCAGGAAUUAACCCCAGCGUGGAAGGGAAAACACUGAGCCUAAAGCUGGAUGUGCUUAAAAUCCUUCCUGGCCUCAGGCUUGUGCCCCACACAGCUCCCACCAGGGGCAGUAGCUGUGCCUGCAAACUCUUCCUCCGUCUGAGCAGCUCCGGGUUUGUCAUUAGGCACUAAUUAAAGUGCUUUAGUGAUCAGCUCUUGCACAGCACAUCGCUCCUUGCUGGGCUCUGCAUAAAUUUAACUACUUCCUUUCCCAGGAAGAAAAGGGGAAUAUAGAAAUCAACAAAGUGAUUGGCCUCAUCUAACCUGUUGUCAUAAUUUCCAGCGUCCUGGACUCUGCAUUUUCUAGCAACAGGCAUACUGGGGGGAGCCCUGUACAUUUGAAAAGGCUGUUUAUUUCUUGAAGGAUUUGUGGAGACAAAUCUCUUUCCUUCUCCUUGCCAAGGAGUACCCACAAAGAAGCUACGAACCAUUUGUCUUCCUGCUAAUUCACU